rnacentral:lncRNA from 1 species
ACCUCCUCCGGCCGCGCAGACGCCGACGCGCCUCUUCACCCCCACGUCCUCCGGCCGCGCCUCUUCGCCCUCCCCACCUCCCAACCUCCUCCGGCCGCGCAGAAGCCGGCGCGCCUCUUCACCUCCACCACCUCCGGCCGCGCAGACGCCGGCGCGCCUCUUCACCUCCACCACCUCCGGCCGCGCAGACGCCGGCGCGCCUCUUCACCUCCACCACCUCCGGCCGCGCAGACGCCGGCGCGCCUCUUCACCUCCACCACCUCAACGUUGGAUCGCCUGCUGCCUGACGCCGGAGUCCCGCCGCCACCCACGCUCCCAUGACGACGUAAACUCUCUUCCCCGCGUACCUCAGAUCUGCA